rnacentral:rRNA from 1 species
GGCCGCGGGUAAUUCGAUUACUGCUCNUNAACACGAUGUUACAACCUGCCCUAAGNGNGAGGGAUAACCCCGGGAAACUGGNGAUAAUACCUCAUAAUCUACACGCAUGCUGGAAUGCUCUGUANGUGAAAGGUCAGCCGCCUUAGGAUGGGUCUGCGGCCGAUUAGGUAGUUGUUGGGGUAACGGCCCAACAAGCCUGUAAUCGGUACGGGUUGUGGGAGCAAGAGCCCGAAGAUGGAUUCUGAGACAAGAAUCCAGGCCCUACGGGGCGCAGCAGGAGCGGAAACUUUACAAUGCAGGUAACUGUGAUAAGGGAACCCCGAGUGCCCGUAUGGACGGGCUGUUCAGGUAUGUAAAGAACACCUGGAGAAAGGGCCGGGCAAGACCGGUGCCAGCCGCCGCGGUAAUACCGGCGGCUCGAGUGGUGGCCACUAUUACUGGGCUUAAAGCGUCCGUAGCUGGGUAGUUAAGUCUCUUGGGAAAUCUUCCGGCUCAACCGGAAGGCGUCUAAGGGAUACUGGCUACCUAGGGAUCGGGAGAGGUGAGAGGUACUCUGGGGGUAGGAGUGAGAUCCUGUAAUCCUUAGGGGACACCUGUGGGCGAANGCGUCUCACCAGAAACGACUCCGACAGUGAGGGAC